UUCGGAUACCUCUGUCAAGCUCCAGAGUCGCCGCCGCCGAUAUCUUACACGCCAGUGUCGGAUGAGAGCAUAUUUAGCUCGAGCCCGACAUUUUUUUCGAAACGCUCCAGAGUCGCCGCCACCGAUAUCUUACACGCCUGUACCAGGGCCAACGCCUGAAUAUCAUUGGAGUCCGCCACCGCAACGUAUGUAUUAUUGAAACGUAUAAGUUGAUAUUAAUUUAGAUUCACUUACAGAUUACUGGGGCCUGCCGC